UUGUAAUGGUGAUGGUGAUGAUGAUGAUGAUGAUGAUGAUGUGUCAUCGUCGUGAUCAUCAUCAUCAUCAUCACCACCAUCAUCAUCAUCAUCAUCA
rnacentral:pre_miRNA from 1 species